rnacentral:rRNA from 1 species
UACGUAGGGGGCUAGCGUUGUCCGGAAUCAUUGGGCGUAAAGAGCGUGUAGGCGGCCCGGUAAGUCCGCUGUGAAAGUCGGGGGCUCAACCCUCGAAAGCCGGUGGAUACUGUCGGGCUUGAGUGCGGAAGAGGCGAGUGGAAUUCCUGGUGUAGCGGUGAAAUGCGCAGAUAUCAGGAGGAACACCGAGUGCGAAGGCAGCUCGCUGGGACGUAACUGACGCUGAGACGCGAAAGCGUGGGGAGCAAACAGG